GUUCUGUCCCAGCACAAGGAGAUGGCCCUGAAGCUGGGAGAUGGAGCCUGGGAGCAGCAGGCCAGAAAAGGCUUCUUGGGGGAGUUUGCUCAGCUGUAAAUUAGGGACAACGCUGUUCCCAGCUCUGGCGUUGUGAGGGGCCACACAGACCCGCACACGGCAUCGGACGGCAUGACGGUCAUUACUACUGUCACCAGUGGGCGCGAGAUGGGCGUUCUGCAGUCAAAGCUGGCGGAGAGUGACCCUGUCACCGGCUGUGUGACCUUAGGUCUGUACCUACCUCGCGGGGCCCGGGGCUCGGCGCGGCCAUCGCCCCCGCAGCAGCUUCCCGGGCUUUGGCCGAGUCCCC